CACGUAGGGCGCAAGCGUUGUCCGGAAUUAUUGGGCGUAAAGAGCUCGUAGGCGGUCUGUUGCGUCCGCUGUGAAAACCUGGGGCUCAACUCCAGGCUUGCGGUCGAUACGGGCAGGCUAGAGUUCGGUAGGGGAGACUGGAAUUCCUGGUGUAGCGGUGAAAUGCGCAGAUAUCAGGAGGAACACCAGUGGCGAAGGCGACUACCUGGCCUGUUCUUGACGCUGAGGCGCGAAAGCUAGGGGAGCAAACGGG
rnacentral:rRNA from 1 species